GGAGAGUUGGCCGAGUGGUUUAAGGCGGCGGUCUUGAAAACCGCUAAGGGUUAACAGCCCUUCGGGGGUUCGAAUCCCUCAC
rnacentral:tRNA from 1 species